rnacentral:rRNA from 1 species
AUUGAACGCUGGCGGCAGGCCUAACACAUGCAAGUCGAGCGAGCGGCGUGCGGGUGAGUAAUGUAUGGGGACUUCCCGUUCGCGGGGGAUAACUAUUGGACACGGUAGCUAAUACCGCUUACUAUCGGAUAACCCAUAUGGGAUUAGCUCGUAGGUGAUGUAAUGGCGCACCUAGGCGACGAUCCCUGGCUGGGCUGAGAGGAUGAGCAGCGACACUGGGACUGAGACACGGACGAGACUGCUACGGAGGCAGCAGUGGGGAAUAUUGCAGAAUGUGCGCAAGCCGGAUGCACCCAUGCCGCGGGUGUGAAGAAGGCCAUAGGGUGGUAAAGUACGUUCAGUCGGGAGGCGUUACCGACAGAAGAAGCACCGGCUAACUCCGUGCCAGCAGCCGCGGUAAUAC